GUCACCGGCUCUCCUUCACGCGGAAGGCGGAAGAAGUGAGCGCCUGCUCGCUGCCAUGCUCCAUCUGAACCUAAAUAAAGAGGUUCUGUUUGGUUCCGUCACCGUCGGAGUGGUUUUUGUCACAGGUUAUCUGUUUGCUGGUCGGUGGAAACAUUUCUAGGUUUGGAAUAAUCCCUCUUGCACAACGUUGCUGAGACUGACUGAUGGAGACAGAUGUUCAUCUGCAUCUGUGAAGCUUCCAGAAGGCGGGAGAGCCUGAGAACGCUCCGGAGUCUCACUGCUGGGAUCAUGUGAUGCUGCUGUUGGAGGAUCGCCAGCCUAAAUGUUCUCUUCUGUCCGUGUCAAACAUGAGAUUUGAGGGGAGGGGGUUUGAAUUCAAGCAAUAAAAAAGGCUGUAAAGACACUGAA